UGGGGAAUAUUGCGCAAUGGGCGAAAGCCUGACGCAGCGACGCCGCGUGAGGGAUGAAGGUUUUCGGAUCGUAAACCUCUGUCAGAAGGGAAGAAACCGCACUGUGCUAAUCAGCAGUGCCUUGACGGUACCUUCAAAGGAAGCACCGGCUAACUCCGUGCCAGCAGCCGCGGUAAUACGGAGGGUGCAAGCGUUAAUCGGAAUUACUGGGCGUAAAGCGCACGUAGGCUGCUUUGUAAGUCAGGGGUGAAAUCCCACGGCUCAACCGCGGAACUGCCUUUGAUACUGCUUAGCUUGAAUCCGGGAGAGGGUGGCGGAAUUCCAGGUGUAGGAGUGAAAUCCGUAGAUAUCUGGAGGAACAUCAGUGGCGAAGGCGGCCACCUGGACCGGUAUUGACGCUGAGGUGCGAAAGCGUGGGGAGCAAACAGG
rnacentral:rRNA from 1 species